rnacentral:rRNA from 1 species
UACGGGGGGAGCAAGCGUUGUUCGGAUUUACUGGGCGUAAAGGGCGCGUAGGCGGCGCGACAAGUCACUUGUGAAAUCUCCGGGCUUAACCCGGAGCGGCCAAGUGAUACUGUAGUGCUAGAGUGCGGAAGGGGCUACUGGAAUUCCUGGUGUAGCGGUGAAAUGCGCAGAUAUCAGGAGGAACACCGGUGGCGAAGGCGGUUCUCUGGGCAUUACCUGACGCUGAGGAGCGAAAGUGUGGGGAGCGAACAGG